rnacentral:tRNA from 1 species
AGAGACUUAAGUUAAAAAGACUAAAAGCCUUCAAAGCUUUAAGCGGGAGUGAAAAUCUUCCAGACUCUA